GAUGAACGCUGGCGGCGUGCCUAAUACAUGCAAGUCGAGCGAAUGGAUUAAGAGCUUGCUCUUAUGAAGUUAGCGGCGGACGGGCGAGUAACACGUGGGUAACCUGCCCAUAAGACUGGGAUAACUCCGGGAAACCGGGGCUAAUACCGGAUAACAUUUUGAACCGCAUGGUUCGAAAUUGAAAGGCGGCUUCGGCUGUCACUUAUGGAUGGACCCGCGUCGCAUUAGCUAGUUGGUGAGGUAACGGCUCACCAAGGCAACGAUGAGUAGCCGACCUGAGAGGGUGAGCGGCAACACUGGGACUGAGACACGGCCCAGACUCCUACGGGAGGCAGCAGUAGGGAAUCUUCCGCAAUGGACGAAAGUCUGACGGAGCAACGCCGCGUGAGUGAUGAAGGCUUUCGGGUCGUAAAACUCUGUUGUUAGGGAAGAACAAGUGCUAGUUGAAUAAGCUGGCACCUUGACGGUACCUAACCAGAAAGCCACGGCUAACUACGUGCCAGCAGCCGCGGUAA
rnacentral:rRNA from 1 species